rnacentral:rRNA from 1 species
UACGGAGGAUCCAAGCGUUAUCCGGAUUUAUUGGGUUUAAAGGGUGCGUAGGUGGUUCUUUAAGUCAGGGGUGAAAGACGGCAGCUUAACUGUCGCAGUGCCUUUGAUACUGAAGAACUUGAAUACACUAGAGGUAGGCGGAAUGUGACAAGUAGCGGUGAAAUGCAUAGAUAUGUCACAGAACACCAAUUGCGAAGGCAGCUUGCUACACUGUUAUUGACACUGAGGCACGAAAGCGUGGGGAUCAAACAGG